AAAUAAAAUAAUCUUUCACUGUACAUAUACAUUUUGCAUUAAACCCAUUUCUAUUAUGCUUAUUAAUGCUUUUAUUAAUAAACUUACAAAGACAUACAAAUGACUAUGAAAAAGGAAAAUGUUUAAACACAAAAUUAUUCCUCUAUUUUGCUACUUCCUCCUCUGAUGUGUCACCAUUGUUGUCAUCUGUCUCCGAUUCUGUUACUUGACUUGGUGUGUGUGGUCUGAAGAAGCUUGUAUAUUGAUUGCCGUGUCCCGCUGGCCAAGAGAGAAAAGAUGCAGCGCAUGGUAGAGAUGGCUGUGCAGGGGAUAGUGGAGCAUUCUGACAGCCCGUGGUUGUCGCCCGUAGUCCUGGUGAACAAGAAGGAUGGCACCAAGCGCUUCUGUGUAGAUUACAGGGCGCUGAAUAACGUCACGGUAUCUCCUAUCCCCUGCCCAGGAUAGACGACACCCAGGAUGCUCUGGUUGGUGUUCAGUGGUUGUCCACUUUUGAUCUUAAAUUGGGAUAUCACCAGGUGAUGUUAGCAAUGGCAGACAAGCAGAAGACAGCGUUCUCCUUUGGGCAGGGAUUGUGGCAAUUCCGGGUGAUGCUGUUCAGGUUGAGCAAUGCCCCUGGGUGCUUUGAGUGGCUGAUGGAGAAGGUGCUGGCAAAGUUGCAGUGGAAGGCAGCUUUAGUGUACCUGGACGAUGUUCUGGUGUUCGCAAGGAAGUUUGAGGAGGAGCUGCAACGUCUAAAGGUGGCACUGGGCCGUCUGCGGGAGGCAAACCUGAAACUGAACCCGAAGAAAUGCACCUUCUUCCAGCAUGAAAUGUCGUUCCUGGGGCAUGUUGUGGGGUGAGGCGGUGUGUGCACGGACCCUAACAAGGUGUUGGCAGUCCCGACGUCAGUGGUGAGCAUGAGAAGCUUCCUUAGCCUGUGCAGCUACUACCGCAGGUUUGUGGAAGGCUUUGCCACCCUUGCUGCUCCCCUGCAUCAGCUGACAAGGAAGAAUGUCCACUUCACCUGGGAUGAAUCUUACCAGGACGCGUUCAGUGGUCUGAAGGCGAUGAUGAUAAGUGCUCCAGUGCUGCCCUUUCCUGAUCCUGGCCUCCCCUUCAUCCUCGACACUGAUGCAGGCACAGAGGGCCUUGGAGCAGUGUUGUCUCAGGUAAAGGAAGAUAAUGAGUAUGUAUUGGCCUAUUACAACUCCAAGUUCAGCAAGCCUGAGCGGGAUUACUGCGUCACCAGGAAGGAGUUGCUGGCUAUUGUGAGGAAUUUGGCCCACUUCCACUAGUACCUUUAUGAAGCUGAGUUUGUCGCAAAAUUGCUCGUGCGACGUUCAGUCCAUUUUGUUAGCGGACCGAGCGUCAAGAGGGUGCAGGUAGUAAAGUUAAGCUGCCUGAGACUCCAGUGCACCACAAUUCCUACCAGGUGGUUGUAAUCCUUUAAUUACUCACACACCACAUGUUCGCUGCAUCUACACUCAUAGACAGCUAUUCUUUUUUCACCAUGUAACUUAUCAUGACACACACACACACACACACGCCCGGUAGCUCAGUGGUUAGAGCGCUGGCUUCACAAGCCAGAGGACCGAGGUUCGAUUCCCCGGCCGGGUGGAGAUAUUUGGGUGUGUGUCCUUUCACGUGUAGCCCCUGUUCACCUAGCAGUGAGUAGGUACGGGAUGUAAAUCGAGGAGUUGUGACCUUGUUGUCCCGGUGUGUGGUGUGUGCCUGGGCCGCGUUCCGUUGGCGUACAGUAUGGCAUACUUCCCCCGAAUCGGGGGGGACCAGCAUACGGCUCGCCUUGCGGAAGCGUGCGGGACCUUGCGCUCCUCGGAGGUGAAUGCUUGGCGGUGUCUGGCAACCUUUGUUUAUCAACAAACUGCAAAGAUGGCCGCCUCUUCACCACUAUGCUUUCAGUGUGGGGGCUGCCAACGCUAUUUUGAUAGCUUAUGCAGUGUUGCCAGAUUGGGCUACUAAUCGCAAAUUGGGCUACUUUCUGAUGUGCUGCGCUACUAAAUUUUGACGUCUGCGACUUGCGACUUUUUGGGCUACUUUGGAAUGUGGUUGGGUUAAUAUAUAUGCUUUCGUCAUAAAGUAGGUACACGUAUUUUCUCUCAAAGAUAUCACUUAGAUAUUUUUUUCAUCUAAUUAAAGAAUAAGUUUCCGAUGUUUGUAUAUACCUCUGGGCAAAGUCAUCGAAAUUAACCCGGUAGCAGCGACGAUCGCAAAACUGAGCGUCCCCUCCAAGCGGCAUUAAUUGGGAAAAAUGCCACCCUCGCAAAUCUCUCUAUAAUAUAUAUGAACGCAUUCUCCAUCAGUUUCUGCACCGUCUAAAAAUAUACAUUUCUCUCAUUGUACUAAAAUUUUUACUAAAUAAUGCAAAAUCAAUUUAAACGCGGUGGCAACUCUUACUCCUAGGAACUGUAAGCUCCCUCUCCAGCCCCAUGUCCCACGCAAGCAUGCCAUACAAGCUAGAUGUCACGCGUUUCUCGUAAAAGCAUCUGAAGAACUUCUUGCUCGUGUCCCACGUAACAUUGCAACCUUGAAACAGAUAAAAAAAAUCUAUCACCAGCAAUAUGUUUGAGCCACACAAGACCUCCAUUUUCUGAGCUUCCAUUAUCUCUGGCUGAACAAGCAAAACUCCCUGAGAUUGAAAACCAGUGGCGAACAGCCUUACAUACUGAUUGGCAUCAAAUAUUUGAAGGUGACAUACCUCAGGAUGGUUCAGUGUUCUGGUCCAAAUCUGCUACAUUAAAAAAUGCAGGUGGAGAACUCAUUAUGAAAGACCUGGCAGAAUUUGCUCUGAAAGUGUAUAGCCUUCCUAUUAGUAAUGCCUUAGUAGAGCGCGUAUUUUCAAAAGUAACUGCAGUUAAAACUAAAGUGAGAAAUCGUAUGGGUUUAGGACUCUUAACUUCCAUUCUACGAAUCAAAACCUCCCUGAAAGAAAAAGGCAUGUGCUGCAAUACAUUUGAGCCUCCAGUGUCCAUGCUGCAUUAUGAUUCAUCUAUAUAUAAGGAUGAAAAAAUAGAGGAGGACGAGGAAAACCUGCUACAAUCAUUGCAGCUGAUCUAAGAAAAUCUCUGGCCUCCUGCUUUUGGUAAGUAUAAUAAUUUAUACUUGAAAUCUUAAAAUCAUUAAUCUGUAACCUUUGAGCUACGCGGGCCGUGUGUGUGUGUGUGUGUGUGUGAACAGGAUUUGGGCUACUUUGUCUGUGAAUUUGCUACUUUUAGGGAACCUUUCUGCUACUUUUGAUGAGUCUCAUCUGGCAACACUGAGCUUAUGCGAUGUCACAGAACAUCAAAAACAAUGCGACGCUCGGGCACCUACCGCCAUGGUAGCUGCUGCUACAGAGGCCCCUCCAGCACCUGUGGCUGAGGGAACAGGCCCGGGCCCUGCCACCAUGGGAGGUAAAGGUUUCUUCUGGCCUAUAAAUGCUGUCCUCCUCCUUAUUGCCACAGUGGGAGAUUUGAAGCAAGAAUUUGCAAAGGGGACCAGAAAGAAGGUGGAGGUGUGGAGGGACGUGGCUCUGAGGAUGCGCCAAGAAGGCUAUCCAGUGAAUGGAGAACUCUGCGAUAAGAAAAUUCGCUCCCUAAAGCAAAGGUAGGUGAAAAUUUACUUUAGCACAAUGUUUCUUAACCUCUUAUGAUCUCAGCACCCCUUUUGGUCAGGCCUAAGCAGUUCAGCACCCUGUACUGAGGGAGUGUGGGCGUCUUGCCGUCUGGUGACAGACAUUAGCACACAACCGAACGUGCACAUUAGUAAUAUACAAAGCUUAUGAUGCUGAUUUAAUAUUAAAGUGUGGAACGCUCGUACAAAUCAAGUGUUUCUUUAAUCAUUAAGGUACAACAAACAAUAAAAUCAGAUUAAAGUUUACCCAUAUUGUAUUUCCAAAUAUGUGAUAAAAAUACGUUUGUCCAGACGUAUUCCUUUUACCUUUUACUGCCACUUAUGUGAUCUUCCCCAACACCCCCUUAAAUUUAUUUCUGCACCCCAGGUUAAGAAACACUGCUUUAGUGGCUUAAAAGUUACUGUGUGUAUUAGUAUGUUGAUUCCACUGUGAUAAACUGGGCAGGUAAUUAAAA
rnacentral:tRNA from 1 species